AGUAGCGGUGAAAUGCGUAGAUAUCUGGAGGAAUACCAAAGGCGAAGGCAGUCCCCUGGUCCGAUACUGACACUGAGGUACGAAAGCGUGGGGAGCAAACAGGAUUAGAUACCCUGGUAGUCCACGCCCUAAACGAUGUCAAUUAGCCAUUGGAAGGACCCCUUUUCCUUUCAGUGACGUAGCUAACGCGUUAAAUCGACCGCCUGGGAAGUACGACCGCAAGGUUAAAACUCAAAGGAAUUGACGGGGACCUGAACAAGCGGUGAAUGAUGUGGAUUAAUUCGAUGCUACGCGAAGAACCUUACCUACCUUUGACAUGGCCAAAGUUCUACCGAGAGGCGGAAGUACUCGUAAGAGGAUUGGCGCACAGGUGCUGCAUGGUUGUCGUCAGUUCGUGUCGUGAGAUGUUGGGUUCAGUCCCGCAACGAACGCAACCCUUAUCUUUAAUUGCCCCUAUUUUAACAGGCACUUUAAAGAAACUGCCAAUGAUAAGUUGGAGGAAGGUGGGGAUCACGUCAAGUCCGCAUGGCCUUUAUAGGUAGGGCUUCACACGUCAUACAAUGGUUAGAACAAAGAGCUGCAAAUUCGUAAGAAGGAGCCAAUCUCACAAACCUAACCUCAGUUCGAAUUGCGGUCUGCAACUCGAGCGCAUGAAGCCGGAAUCGCUAGUAAUCGUGGAUCAGAAUGCCA
rnacentral:rRNA from 1 species